rnacentral:lncRNA from 1 species
GUUUCUCUCCUCCAAAAAUCCCUUUUCAUCCCCUAAUAACCCUCUAUCUCCUCACACAUUUGAUCUUCCAAGUCUCCUUGCUUGUUCUGGUGGUGAGAAUGGCUCCAAAAAUGAAACUCCCUCAAAGAAGGAAAUCGGUCCGUGAGUUGGAAGAGGGCGUGCGCAAGAAAAGACAAGCUUCUCAGACCUCUUCUGCUUCCAUUCCGGCUUCGGCAUCUGCUCCAGGUUCCUCUCAGUC